CAGACUACCUUAGCACAAUCGCCUUUUCCCUCUAAAAAUUUAGAGACACAGACACACCACCACAGCUCCUCAGUCCUCAAUCCACACUCCACACCCUAUUUCAAGAUCUUCAUCAGUCAUCAGACAGACUCAUCACCAUAUUCUAGCGAUGGUGAGCCAUUAUCUUCGUUAAACAAACCCUAGAGCUCUUCCUUUAUGUAUUGCUUGUCUUUCUUCUCCUCCACUUAACUCUGCUACCAGACUAGGGCUAUUCUUCGCAUCUCGAAAGAGGUUCCAUUAGCAAGUCCAACGAGCUUAGGCUUAGAUCUCGUGUUCAGGAAAACCUUCUGUGGUAGUGAAUGAAGACGUUAACCAAAUCUAGCAGGAAAACCUUUCAGUGCUAGACAUCUCCAGAUCUAGCAUCCUAGCAACACCCUCAAGUGACCAAGCCUUAACAGUAAUCCAUCUAAGCACCCUUCUUCAGUUCUUUGCAUGAGUGUGUGGCAUCCACACCAUUUAGGCGGCAUGUGUGACAUCACCCAGUAGCCAAAACUGGAUAGAUGUUUCACCGUGUCCUCUUCCAUGUGGAGUGGCGCGUGACAACUUACGGUGGUCGAAUUGUCAUCUGUAGUUGUUUGAUUUUCCCCUUUUAUUUGCUCUCUUCUGACAGAUGCCUUCUCUGCAUCCACGCAGAUUGUUUACCCUUUUCUCCACCAUGUCCCGGUUCAUGAAGUGGAGGCGCAGCCGCGC